AGCAGGGUGGCUCAGUGGAAAGAGCACAGGUUUGGGAGUCAGAGGUCAUGGGUUCUAAUCCCUGCUCUGCCA
rnacentral:tRNA from 1 species